CAUCCCCGCUUUGCACUUCGGUGAUGUUGAGCUGGCCUCGCGGAGAGACUGAGAAGCGCCCGGUGGGCUGAAGCGACUGACUGGGGAAUAGCAAGGCCUGAGGACAGAGCAAGAAACCAAGGCAGUCCCAGGUGGGGCCUCACCGUGAACGCUGAGGGAGCCAGAUGCCUCUGCGCGGCCCACACGGUUCUCCGCCACACAGGUGAAUGACCAACCCAGAAGUGAGUCCCAAUCCUAUAUCUGCCAGUGAGAAGACUCCACGCUCUGGACCUGUCUGCCCAUCUGUUAAGGAGAAACUGGACUGCUUGCUCUGCUCUGAUGCCUCAGAUUCCCAUUUCAGGAGCCCUCUGUUCUGCCUCCUGCUGACCUACUCGGGUUACCUGGGUUCCAUCACACCAGAGGCUGAACCAGGACAGAAAUCCGGUGUCCUGGCACCAGCCCUACUCUAGGGCAGGGAGGGCUGCAGCAGACAGGAAACAGCAUCCCACCAUGUGGCUCCUGCCCCAUCCUAAUCCCCUGAUUUGCUCCCGGUCGGCCUCUCAGCAAACACAGGACCUGCCAGCGUCUAGGGGCUUGUCACCCUGUUAGCGGAUUUGUUCCCUGAGACAGCACAGUUAAUUGGCCCUUUAUGUGGGGAUCAGGGCUAUUUGCUCAGGGUUCCCUGAGCGGAGGCUGUGGCUCAGCUCAUGGGCAAGGCUGCUUCCUAAUCUCUGGCAUCCUGGGUUUGGAGGCUGGACAAAUAGUGAGGCCACUCCCCUCCUUUCCAAGACUCCUGGCCCAAAUCUCUUCUACACCUCACCCCUUCUUGAUACUCUUUUCUCUCUCCCUGCUUUUUGUCCGUUUCUCUUUUUGUCUGAUUCUCUGUAUCUCUAGAAUACUCUCCCUUUGAACCAACUCAGAUUUAAUACAAAAAGAGGGUGCAGUACUCAACUAGGGAGUACUGGAGAGUAAAUACCUCCCCAGCACAGCCUAAUUCCCAGCCCCCUCAGGGUCCCUGGGCCCCUGGGUCUAGUAGAAGGUGAGGCAGAGAGUGGGUGGAGAAGGCCCAGCAGGCCUGGAAGUCCUCUCCUUCCCUCCUCUUCUUAAGGUCAGAUGGACAGCCUGAACACUGGCCCUUCACCUUUUCAAGUCCAGCUUCUCUCCAGGCUGUUCCCAUCGGCAGUUCUGGAAGGAGUUUGCCGCCUAGCUGUCUUCUCAGUGACUGCCCCCAGCCUUCACAAACACCCAGCACAACUCUGGCUUCUACCUCUUGCUUAGAGAGGGUAGGUAACUCCAUGCGUCUAUGUCCACGUCCUAACCUGUGGGCUAUAGGUGCUGAUACAGCACCUAAAACACUCUCAGCAUGGACACUGUAAGUGGGAGGAUCCUCACCUAAGGUUCCACCAUAGGCUGGAGAAAGAGUGAGUUGAGUUCUGGGCCCCUACCUCAGGAGACUUCUUUUCCAGGGUUUUAUCAAUAACAGCCUGCACUUUAGAAAAGUUAAGAAAGGGAAAAGGAGGUUUUGAAGGGGAAUUGGCAAAAAGGAGAGAGAAUAGCAUGAGGCAGGGAGGAGGGGAAGCAUUGAGUCUGUGGAGAUAGUAAGUUUUUUUCUGAUAGGGUUAUGGCAUCUGGGGGGAAGAAAUGUGGGAGGUGGGGUGGAUGGGUGUGUGUGUUGGUGCGUGUGUCUAUGGAGAUAUGGCUACCCCAGGCCAACUUCCUUGGCCUAGUGCCAUCACAUAGGCCAGAGAAUGUACCUGGGAAUUUUCAGGGACCAAGCCCGGGCCUGUAUAGGAAGCUUCUUGGUGGUCCAAAGCCUGCACACCAGCUGGUGUGGAUGAAGCUGCUGGCAUGUGAUUGCCCAGGAGGGCAGUCUGAGGACAACACUCCUAUCUCACAUUGAUUAUUGCCACUGCCUCCCCAGUACACACGCAAGCAUGCACACAUGCACACACACAUGCCCAGUCCAUUUACAUCCCCCCAGAGCCUGCAACCGCCCAUCACUAUCUCUGCCUGGACCCCUUCCCAGGGCACUGACACACAUUGAGCAUAUGUGUGUGUUUGAGGGGGAGGGGGAUGUGGGACAAGGCACUAACAUCUGUCCCCCACCCCGACUAGGCUAUGCCUGUGAAUGGCCCAGCAGGAUUGCUGGCUUCAGAGCGAUGAUGCCAGGGGGCAGUGACCCAGCCAGUAGGGGCCAGAAGGCCAAACAGGAGGGGGGAUCAGAGAGCAAAGAGCAGGCCCCCGGCUGGAAAGCAGGCAGCAGGAGCCUACUCCCAGCAGGAGCCAGGGUCUGUUGGCUCAACCCCUGUAGCUGCUGAGAUAAUAAGCCAGGGCCUCCUGUCCAAGAGUAACCCUCCCGCCCAGGGUUCCAGUGGAGGAGCCUGCAGGGAGAUACGAUGCAACACACCAAGUCUGGAGGCAACUGGGCAGAAAUGGCCACAUCCCAAUACAGAAGGAACAAAGGCUAGGUAGAACAAGAGCUUUCUGAGUUCUUUUAUUAAGCUUGUUACAGAGCAAACACUCUGUAAAUACGGGUUUAGUGAAUACAUCUGAUUAACUAGUUAAUCCUCAGAGCCCACACUAGCCUUCCCUGUCUCUCUGCCUCUCAUUCAUUCAUUCU